rnacentral:rRNA from 1 species
GACGAACGCUGGCGGCGUGCUUAACACAUGCAAGUCGAACGGAAAGGCCCUGCUUUUGUGGGGUGCUCGAGUGGCGAACGGGUGAGUAACACGUGAGUAACCUGCCCUUGACUUUGGGAUAACUUCAGGAAACUGGGGCUAAUACCGGAUAGGAGCUCCUGCUGCAUGGUGGGGGUUGGAAAGUUUCGGCGGUUGGGGAUGGACUCGCGGCUUAUCAGCUUGUUGGUGGGGUAGUGGCUUACCAAGGCUUUGACGGGUAGCCGGCCUGAGAGGGUGACCGGCCACAUUGGGACUGAGAUACGGCCCAGACUCCUACGUGAGGCAGCAGUGGGGAAUAUUGCACAAUGGGCGGAAGCCUGAUGCAGCAACGCCGCGUGCGGGAUGACGGCCUUCGGGUUGUAAACCGCUUUCGCCUGUGACGAAGCGUGAGUGACGGUAAUGGGUAAGGAAGCACCGGCUAACUACGUG